rnacentral:rRNA from 1 species
UACGGAGGGUGCAAGCGUUGUCCGGAUUUAUUGGGUUUAAAGGGUGCGUAGGCGGCCUUGUAAGUCAGUGGCGAAAGCCUCCAGCUCAACUGGAGAACUGCCAUUGAUACUGCAAGGCUUGAGUACAGACGAGGUUGGCGGAAUUGAUUGUGUAGCGGUGAAAUGCAUAGAUACAAUCAAGAACUCCGAUUGCGUAGGCAGCUAACUAGGCUGUAACUGACGCUGAGGCACGAAAGCGUGGGGAGCGAACAGG